UGUGUUCUAGUUCCUUUUCUGGUACC
rnacentral:piRNA from 1 species